GCCGCACGCAGUGGCACGUGCCUGUAGUCCCAGCUACUCGGGAGGCUGAGGUGGGAGGAUCGCUUGAGCCCAGGAGUUCUGGGCUGUAGUGUGUUAUGCCCAUCGGGUGUCCGCACUAAGUUCGGCAUCAAUAUGGUGACCUCCCAGGAGCGGGGGACCACCAGGUUGCCUAAGGAGGGGUGAACCGGCCCAGGUCGGAAACAGAGCUGGUCAAAACUCCCAUGCUGAUCAGUAGUGGGAUCGCGCCUGUGAACAGCCACUGCACUCCAGCCUGGGCAACAUAGCGAGACCCCAUCUCU
rnacentral:SRP_RNA from 1 species